GAUGAACGCUAGCUACAGGCUUAACACAUGCAAGUCGAGGGGCAUCAGGAAGAAAGCUUGCUUUCUUUGCUGGCGACCGGCGCACGGGUGAGUAACACGUAUCCAACCUGCCCUUUACUCGGGGAUAGCCUUUCGAAAGAAAGAUUAAUACCCGAUGGGAUAAUUAUUCCGCAUGGUUUGAUUAUUAAAGGAUUCCGGUAAAGGAUGGGGAUGCGUUCCAUUAGGUUGUUGGUGAGGUAACGGCUCACCAAGCCUUCGAUGGAUAGGGGUUCUGAGAGGAAGGUCCCCCACAUUGGAACUGAGACACGGUCCAAACUCCUACGGGAGGCAGCAGUGAGGAAUAUUGGUCAAUGGACGAAAGUCUGAACCAGCCAAGUAGCGUGCAGGAUGACGGCCCUCUGGGUUGUAAACUGCUUUUAGUUGGGAAUAAAAAGAGGGACGUGUCCCUUAUUGUAUGUACCAUCAGAAAAAGGACCGGCUAAUUCCGUGCCAGCAGCCGCGGUAAUACGGAAGGUCCAGGCGUUAUCCGGAUUUAUUGGGUUUAAAGGGAGCGCAGGCGGCGGCGUAAGUCAGUUGUGAAAUCGUGCGGCUUAACCGUGCAAUUGCAGUUGAUACUGCGUCGCUUGAGUGCACACAGGGAUGUUGGAAUUCAUGGUGUAGCGGUGAAAUGCUUAGAUAUCAUGAAGAACUCCGAUCGCGAAGGCAUAUGUCCGGAGUGCAACUGACGCUGAGGCUCGAAAGUGUGGGUAUCAAACAGG
rnacentral:rRNA from 1 species